GACGAACGCUGGCGGCGUGCCUAAUACAUGCGAGUUGAGCGCUGAAGGUUGGUACUUGUACCAACUGGAUGAGCAGCGAACGGGUGAGUAACGCGUGGGGAAUCUGCCUUUGAGCGGGGGACAACAUUUGGAAACGAAUGCUAAUACCGCAUAAAAACUUUAAACACAAGUUUUAAGUUUGAAAGAUGCAAUUGCAUCACUCAAAGAUGAUCCCGCGUUGUAUUAGCUAGUUGGUGAGGUAAAGGCUCACCAAGGCGAUGAUACAUAGCCGACCUGAGAGGGUGAUCGGCCACCUUGGGACUGAGACACGGCCCAAACUCCUACGGGAGGCAGCAGUAGGGAAUCUUCGGCAAUGGACGAAAGUCUGACCGAGCAACGCCGCGUGAGUGAAGAAGGUUUUCGGAUCGUAAAACUCUGUUGGUAGAGAAGAACGUUGGUGAGAGUGGAAAGCUCAUCAAGUGACGGUAACUACCCAGAAAGGGACGGCUAACUACGUG
rnacentral:rRNA from 1 species